rnacentral:tRNA from 2 species
GGGGAGGUACCCAAGUGGCCAAAGGGGACUGACUGUAAAUCAGUUGGCGCCUGCCUUCGGGAGUUCGAAUCUCUCCCUCCCCACCA